rnacentral:telomerase_RNA from 1 species
CGGCAGCGGUUGGGAGGUUUCCCUUCUUCACUAACCCUAACUCGCUGUCUCCGACGGCGGUUGGCCUCGUUCGCUGUUUUACUCGCUGACUUUCAGCGAACCGAAGCUCAGAAAAAACGUCAGCGAUUCGGGGGAAGCCUCCUCCUCCGCUAGCCGGCCACGCGUCGGUUCCCUCCUUUCUCCGCCUCGAGCGUGCUCGGCUCCCGAGCCGGCGCCGCCGCCCCCGCUCGAGGCCGCGGUCAGCUUGGUCCGGGCCGCUGCUGCCGCGAAGGGUUUAGCCCUGCCUGCCUCGGGGGAGGCGAGUCUCACCGAAAGGCGGAGGACGGCGGGGGAAAAAGUGCUCGCAAGGCCCGGGCGUGAGAGCAAAUACGGACGGCGGCCCCUGUCCCACUCGCCCUUGAGUAGUGGGGUGUGUGGCGGGCGCCGUCCGGACAUGC